rnacentral:lncRNA from 1 species
UCCUGACAAACUUACUCACAACCCUCUGAUAUCCUUUCCUGAAUAACCAUGAGCCUGAUGGACUGACAUUAACUUCUAGGCACCACUAGACACUGUCCCACUAAAGGACUGCCUAAUCCAUCCAAUUCCCCUACCUUGUCUCUAUGGACACAGGUAGUACCUUGAGUAAUGCAUCAAUCCGCCCUAGAAUGACAUCAUGCAGUCACUUCUAGAACCAUAAGGUCAGCUGGAUUGCAUCUACUCACCAUAACCUCUGAACUGAACUGACUGACUCUACCUCAGAUGGAUCACACUCCGGUCCACUGACCCAGAGAAAACACGCUAAGCCCAGAAGUCAUCAAACCCAUCCUAUCAACAGCUCACAACAACAGGAAAAGCGAAACACUAGGGUCCAACACAAC